AAGUCGUAACAAGGUUUGCAGUCAGUGUCUGAAAGUGUCAUUGAUUGUGUAAGGAUAACGCUUUUCGAUCACCAGAGGCCGAACACCGGCCGGUGACCAGGUCGCCGUGGCUUCGGCCCCCUAUAUUCACCCCACUGCCAACUUUCGCCUCGUAGGAAACUGCUGGGCAACAAAACGAACACUGUUAACAAUGGAUAUCUUGGUUCUC
rnacentral:misc_RNA from 1 species